CAAAUGAGAUCAGAUAUUAGAGAAAAGAAAAAUCAGAUUCUCUCUUACAAAAAACGAAAACGGCGCAUCUGAGUUCCGGUUCUUCUCCAUUUUUUCCUUCUUCUUAUCCAUUCUCACUUUGGCUCUAAUACACACUUCUCCUUAACACACACACACACACACCGCGUUGAAGCCUCUAGCAACAAGUGGGAAUUACAAAGUUUAGAGCUAAAAUUAAAAGAUUGCAAAGCUGAUUUUCAGUUUCAAAUCCUUGUCUUCUCUCACAUUUUUUGGGGAUUUCAGAGCUUGGUGGAGCUUUAGAACUUGUUUUGAAGCUGAGAGAUUGAUAUAAAUUCCAGUCAUUGUUUGAUUCCGCUAAUUUUUACUGUUUCUGGAAUUGCUGAGCUCCAAUUGGGAUGGCAGCUCCUUCCCUUAUGCCCCUCAGAAAAGCAAGAACUACUGCUAAAUCAGAAGGAGUGUAUAGGACUAGAGUCUGGUCUUUUAGCAUUUAACCCUUUUAUGCCAAUGAUUUUGAUGUUCAAAAAGCAAUUACACGAAGGAGGUUUUUCUUAAACAGAUUUUUGAGUGGAAUACGUAGUGAGAUAUAUAUAGAAAGAAAAUUUGUGUAUCUUAAACACAUUUGAAAAAUAUUUGUAAUAUCCGUUGUUCAUAUCUUCUACUGCUUAUUGCUACUCGAAGAGGGUAAAUAAAAAUAUUCUUGUUGGUAUAUUAGGGUAAUUUGAUAUUAGUUGCAAAGACAUUACGUCUUGCAUUCAGAGAUUUCAAAUUACGCUCCAAGCAUGCUUGUUAACAGAGAAAGAGCAGAAUAUAAUUAAUAAGAUAUUGGAUGGUAAAUCUCUAAUUUUUGAAA